UGGGCGCAAGCCUGAUGCAGCCAUGCCGCGUGUAUGAAGAAGNCCUUCGGGUUGUAAAGCACUUUCAGUCGUGAGGAAGGUGGUGUCGUUAAUAGCNGCAUNACUUGACGUUAGCGACAGAAGAAGCACCGGCUAACUCCGUGCCAGCAGCCGCGGUAAUACGGAGGGUGCGAGCGUUAAUCGGAAUUACUGGGCGUAAAGCGCAUGCAGGUGGUUUGUUAAGUCAGAUGUGAAAGCCCGGGGCUCAACCUCGGAAUNGCAUUUGAAACUGGCAGACUAGAGUACUGUAGAGGGGGGUAGAAUUUCAGGUGUAGCGGUGAAAUGCGUAGAGAUCUGAAGGAAUACCGGUGGCGAAGGCGGCCCCCUGGACAGAUACUGACACUCAGAUGCGAAAGCGUGGGGAGCAAACAGGAUUAGAUACCCUGGUAGUCCACGCCGUAAACGAUGUCUACUUGGAGGUUGUGGCCUUGANCCGUGGCUUUCGGAGCUAACGCGUUAAGUAAACCGCCUGG
rnacentral:rRNA from 1 species